UGGGGAAUAUUGCACAAUGGGCGAAAGCCUGAUGCAGCGACGCCGCGUGCGGGAUGACGGCCUUCGGGUUGUAAACCGCUUUUGAUUGGGAGCAAGCGAGAGUGAGUGUACCUUUCGAAUAAGCACCGGCUAACUACGUGCCAGCAGCCGCGGUAAUACGUAGGGUGCAAGCGUUAUCCGGAUUUAUUGGGCGUAAAGAGCUCGUAGGCGGUUCGUCGCGUCUGGUGUGAAAGUCCAUCGCUUAACGGUGGAUCGGCGCCGGGUACGGGCGGACUGGAGUGCGGUAGGGGAGACUGGAAUUCCCGGUGUAACGGUGGAAUGUGUAGAUAUCGGGAAGAACACCGAUGGCGAAGGCAGGUCUCUGGGCCGUCACUGACGCUGAGGAGCGAAAGCGUGGGGAGCGAACAGG
rnacentral:rRNA from 1 species